rnacentral:rRNA from 1 species
AUCGCCAGACCGCCGGAGGUAUUCCUGGGCACCUGCCUGUAAGACUGGGAUAACUCCGGGAAACCGGAGCUAAUACCGGAUAAUUCUUUUCCUCUCAUGGUGGAUUGUUGAAAGAUGGUUUCGGCUGUCACUUACAGAUGGGCCCGCGGCGCAUUUCUAGUUGGUGAGGUAACGGCUCACCAAGGCCACGAUGCGUAACCCACCUGAAGGGUGAUCGGCCACCCUGGGACUGAAACACGGCCCAAACUCCUACGGGAGGCACAUAGGAAUCUUCCGCAAUGGACAAAGUCUGACGGAACAACCCCGCGUGAAUGAAAAGGGCUUCGGAACCUAAAACUCUGUUGUUGGGAAAAACAAUCCGGAUAACUGCCGGGACCUUGACGGGACCUGACCAAAAACCCCGGUAAUACGUGCCCCCCCCCCGGUAAA